UACGAAGGGGGCUAGCGUUGUUCGGAAUUACUGGGCGUAAAGCGCGCGCAGGUGGUCUUUCAAGUCAGUGGUGAAAGCCCGGAGCUCAACUCCGGAAAUGCCAUUGAAACUGUAAGACUUGAGGAUGAGAGAGGUGAGUGGAAUUCCCGAGUGUAGAGGUGAAAUUCGUAGAUAUUGGGAAGAACACCGGUGGCGAAGGCGGCUCACUGGCUCGAUAUCUGACGCUCAGGCGCGACAGCGUGGGGAUCAAACAGG
rnacentral:rRNA from 1 species